rnacentral:rRNA from 1 species
GUGCCAGCAGCCGCGGUAAUACAGAGGGUGCAAGCGUUGUUCGGAAUUAUUGGGCGUAAAGCGCGUGUAGGCGGCUUUGCAAGUCGGGUGUGAAAGCCCUCAGCUCAACUGAGGAAGUGCGCCCGAAACUGCAGAGCUUGAGUGCCGGAGAGGGUGGCGGAAUUCCCCAAGUAGAGGUGAAAUUCGUAGAUAUGGGGAGGAACACCGGUGGCGAAGGCGGCCACCUGGACGGUAACUGACGCUGAGACGCGAAAGCGUGGGGAGCAAACAGGAUUAGAUACCCUGGUAGUCC